AUACACUGUGUAUCCUCUGUGUACGAGAGUGCGCCCCUGCAGCCGGGUCCUGGUACUGUACCGGCGUCAUCGAAAAUUUGCAUUUUUCACACAAGUGUAAGUAUUGAGGCCUGUGAUUGGUCAGAUCGGUACUGGUAGGCGGGAAAUCACGAAAACAAGAUGGCGCCGACGGGUGGAGCCUAAUUCCGCAGCUCCUAUUGGUUGCAUACGCAAUGAAAAACAAGCGAGACAAGAUGGCGCCGGUGGGCGGAGCCUCAUUCAGCUUCAGCUUCAGCUUCAGCAUAGAAGCUGCACCUGAGAAGACAUCUGAGCACCUGAUGGAGGCUACUGUUAUUUUAAAGAAGAUGACAGAAGACACAUCAGAUCAUGCUGAAGUGAAACAGUGAUGGAGAAAGCCCAAUCUCUGGAGGAAGACAUACAGUAUUCACAAAGAUUCAUCAGUGAUUUCACCUGUGUCAGAUGGUAACUGAGAAGAAUCAGAUUCAGAAGAAUAAGAUACAGCAACAAUAAAGAUAAGCCGUGAGACCCAGCUGUCAUCAGUGAUGAUUGUGCUGCUCUUACUGUGGGACUACACCAGACUCUCAGUGAGGUUGGACCCUCCACUCUCAAAAUUAACACUCUGUCCCAGUCAGAAGUCAGAGAUGUACAGAAGGUGAGCCCUGAGAAGGACCAGUUAUCAAUGGACCAUCAAGACGGUGUUAGACGGAGAAGAUGAGAUCAGAAUGAUGGAUCCUGAUGCCACUGAUCCUGAUGAAAGCGUUUCUCAGGAUGUUGUUCCUGCUGGAGCUGCGCAGGCGUCUCCAGUAAUGCUGAUGUUCAGAAGAUGCCCAUUUGGAAAACUGCUGAGUUUGUCAAGAGAAUGAGAGUUCGGCAGAAAUUAAAAAACGGAAAGGAAAAGGACAAGACAGAAAGGACAAAAGGCUUGCUGGUCAGAUGCUGAAGUUACAGCUGUAAUUGAUCAUUUUAAGGCACAUAUAACCAAAGGAAAAUUGUGGACAAAACACAAGAGAUUUUGUAAGAAAUCAAGGAAUUAGCUUGAAAAGAAAAGCACAAAAUAAGUGAUGUUACAUUGUGUCUCAUUUGAUGCUGUUCUAUAAGGAUUAUUAUUUUAGUUGUUGGUUAUGUUAGUUUCAUUCUAGAGCAUGAAUAUACUAAGACUUCACUCUGUAAAUCUCUAAAGUUUAACUGUUCUUUAAAGCAGUAGUUUGUCACAAAAACAUGACAACUUAAUAUUCAACAUUAUUAUUGAUCUGACUGCAUUGACACUAUUGUAUGAGAACUGAACUGAGCUGGACGAUGACAUGACUGUUGUCUCCAGAGCUGCUGCUGCUGUAUAGAUGAAGUGAACUAAAUUAAUAACUGAUGAGUUUUACAACAUAAUUGAAUCAACACUGAACUGACUCGGGGUGAACAAUGACACGAUACUCUUCUAGAGCUGCUGUACAGCCCAAACAAUCUUUGUUGAACAAUGUUCCUGUUAUGAGGGCUGCUUUGAAACAAUAUGUAGUUUAAAAAGCGCUUUAUAAAUAAAGGUGACUUGACUUGA